rnacentral:rRNA from 1 species
GACGAACGCUGGCGGCGUGCCUAAUACAUGCAAGUAGAACGCUGAAGGAGGAGCUUGCUCUUCUGGAUGAGUUGCGAACGGGUGAGUAACGCGUAGGUAACCUGCCUGGUAGCGGGGGAUAACUAUUGGAAACGAUAGCUAAUACCGCAUAAGAGUAGAUGUUGCAUGACAUUUGCUUAAAAGGUGCAAUUGCAUCACUACCAGAUGGACCUGCGUUGUAUUAGCUAGUUGGUGGGGUAACGGCUCACCAAGGCGACGAUACAUAGCCGACCUGAGAGGGUGAUCGGCCACACUGGGACUGGGACACGGCCCAGACUCCUACGGGAGGCAGCAGUAGGGAAUCUUCGGCAAUGGACGGAAGUCUGACCGAGCAACGCCGCGUGAGUGAAGAAGGUUUUCGGAUCGUAAAGCUCUGUUGUAAGAGAAGAACGAGUGUGAGAGUGGAAAGUUCACACUGUGACGGUAUCUUACCAGAAAGGGACGGCUAACUACGUG